rnacentral:rRNA from 2 species
UACGUAGGGGGCAAGCGUUAUCCGGAAUUACUGGGCGUAAAGGGUGCGUAGGUGGCCUGAUAAGUCAGGGGUCAAAGGCAACGGCUCAACCGUUGUAAGCCCCUGAAACUAUCGGGCUUGAGUUCAGGAGAGGAAAGCGGAAUUCCAAGUGUAGCGGUGAAAUGCGUAGAUAUUUGGAGGAACACCAGUGGCGAAGGCGGCUUUCUGGACUGAUACUGACACUGAGGCACGAAAGCGUGGGGAGCAAACAGG